UCGGGAAUUUUGGGCAAUGGGCGAAAGCCUGACCCAGCAACGCCGCGUGAGGGAUGAAGUAUUUCGGUAUGUAAACCUCGAAAGAAUGGGAAGAAUAAAUGACGGUACCAUUUAUAAGCUCCGGCUAACUACGUGCCAGCAGCCGCGGUAAUACGUAGGGAGCAAGCGUUGUUCGGAUUUAUUGGGCGUAAAGGGCGCGUAGGCGGCGCGGUAAGUCACUUGUGAAAUCUCUGAGCUUAACUCAGAACGGCCAAGUGAUACUGCUGUGCUAGAGUGCGGAAGAGGCAACCGGAAUUCUUGGUGUAGCGGUGAAAUGCGUAGAUAUCAAGAGGAACACCUGAGGCGAAGGCGGGUUGCUGGGCCGACACUGACGCUGAUGCGCGAAAGCCAGGGGAGCAAACG
rnacentral:rRNA from 1 species